CUCUGUAGCUCAAAGAUUUAUCGCCACAGGAUGGGUCUGCGGCCGAUUAGGUAGUUGUUGGGGUAACGGCCCAACAAGCCUUUGAUCGGUACGGGUUGUGGGAGCAAGAGCCCGGAGAUGGAUUCUGAGACACGAAUCCAGGCCCUACGGGGCGCAGCAGGCGCGAAAACUUUACAAUGCGGGAAACCGUGAUAAGGGAACUCCGAGUGUCCGUAAAUGCGGACUGUCCGUAUGUUUAAAAAGCAUGCGAAGAAAGGGCCGGGCAAGACCGGUGCCAGCCGCCGCGGUAAUACCGGCGGCUCGAGUGGUGGCCACUAUUACUGGGCUUAAAGCGUUCGUAGCUGGGUCGUUAAGUCUCUUGGGAAAUCUACCGGCUUAACCGAUAGGCGUCCAAGGGAUACUGGCGAUCUAGGGACCGGGAGAGGUGAGGGGUACUUCAGGGGUAGGAGUGAAAUCCUGUAAUCCUUGGGGGACCACCUGUGGCGAAGGCGCCUCACCAGAACGGCUCCGACAGUGAGGGACGAAAGCUGGGGGAGCAAACCGGAUUAGAUACCCGGGUAGUCCCAGCCGUAAACGAUGCGCGUUAGGUGUAUCGAUGACCACGAGUCAUCGAGGUGCCGAAGGGAAACCGUGAAACGCGCCGCCUGGGAAGUACGGUCGCAAGGCUGAAACUUAAAGGAAUUGGCGGG
rnacentral:rRNA from 1 species